CGGAAAAGAAACCCAAAUUAAAACGAAGAAGUUAAAAUAUCUUGAGAUAGAGAGAAGGGUAAUAAAACGGAGGCGGGUCGAGAUCCGGCGGAAGGCACAUCGUCGGGUUUCGCCCAUUGCAUUCUCACAGAUCUACGCUUCUUGCUUCUAACUUGUGUCGUCUGACGUUGUCUAGAUGAAAGGCUCUUGCACUCUCGUCGCGUCGGUUGUUGCCGCUUCCACCGCGGCCGCGCUUUCCUCAUUCGCCACCGGUGGCCGUGAUGUAACAUUCAACCCUGCCUCCCAUCAGAGUGCAUCGAUAAAUUCGCUUGUGGCGUCAUCAGAGAAGAAUAAAUUUGCGCCGAGGUUCGAUGGGUUGAGGUUCAUCGAGACACUAGUGACGGCCCACAGGUGACCGUAUCUAAUUUUGAGGUGGAAAUGGUUUGGGUUGUAAGACUGGAAGGAUUCUUAAUUUGCAUUACAAGGCAAUUGCAAUCUUGCAUUUGUUUGUUUGUGCAAUGUUAUUGUUUUUAAUUGGUUUCGUUGGCUUGGAUACUAUGAAAUGGUUGAGGUCAUAGUUCUUAUUUUUUCUAUAAAAUAAAAUAUGAAAACAGUAUUA